CUGCUGUUUCCUUAUUUUUUGCAGGAAAGCAAAGGGUUGUUGACUUCCUCUCCCCUCCCUUCCUUCCUUCUUUCUGAAGGUACUGUACUCAUCUGAAAAAAAAAAAAAACACAAACCCAGAACGAAAUGAUUGUUCCUGUUCUCCUUCUUAAGUCAUUUGAAACAUUGUCCCUGCUAGUUUUCUAAGUUUACUGCAAUCUCUGCACAGGGGGGAGGGAGACAGUGGGAGACAGAAACAGAUAUUACAAACAUGAGAGCAGGUAGUGUUUAGGGCAAGACUCCUUCCAGCUUCAACAACUGGGCACCUGGGCUGCGCUUCCACCCUGGGACAGCCUCCGGCUUCCACCCCUCACUGAAGCAACUAGUGGAAAGGACUUUCUGCCUCCCUCCAUCUGGUGUCUUUCUGCAGGUUUUUCCAUAAGAAGAAAUGGUGUACCACAGAUUCAGCCCAGUUUCUGGGUAAGUUGUAGAUUCCUUAUGCUUUGGGAGCAGCCAAAGGGGGCUCUGCCAAAGGAGAUGGAAAUAACUUGUUUCUUGAACUCCUUAGCUUAAUGUUG
rnacentral:lncRNA from 1 species